rnacentral:tRNA from 1 species
GCUUGGGUGGCUCAGCUGGUUAAGCAUCUGACUUCGGCUCAGAUCAUGAUCUUACGGUUCGUGGGUACGGGCCCCACCUUGGGCU